rnacentral:rRNA from 1 species
UACGUAGGUGACAAGCGUUGUCCGGAUUUACUAGGCGUAAAGAGCGCGCAGGCGGUCGAUCAAGUCGAGUGUGAAAGCCCCCGGCUCAACUGGGGAGGGUCAUUCGAUACUGAUCGACUCGAAGGCAGGAGAGGGUAGUGGAAUUCCCGGUGUAGUGGUGAAAUGCGUAGAUAUCGGGAGGAACACCAGUGGCGAAGGCGACUACCUGGCCUGUUCUUGACGCUGGGGCGCGAAAGCUAGGGGAGCGAACAGG